GGUGAGAUGGCCGAGCGGUCUAAGGCGCCAGCUUAAGGCGGACUUGAAGUUUGAUUUCGCUGGUCCGAAAGGGCAGGGGUUCGAAUCCCCUUCUCAUCA